rnacentral:rRNA from 1 species
UAGGGAAUCUUCCGCAAUGGGCGAAAGCCUGACGGAGCAACGCCGCGUGAGUGAUGAAGGUCUUCGGAUCGUAAAACUCUGUUAUUAGGGAAGAACAAAUGUGUAAGUAACUAUGCACGUCUUGACGGUACCUAAUCAGAAAGCCACGGCUAACUACGUGCCAGCAGCCGCGGUAAUACGUAGGUGGCAAGCGUUAUCCGGAAUUAUUGGGCGUAAAGCGCGCGUAGGCGGUUUUUUAAGUCUGAUGUGAAAGCCCACGGCUCAACCGUGGAGGGUCAUUGGAAACUGGAAAACUUGGGUGCAGAAGAGGAAAGUGGAAUUCCAUGUGUAGCGGUGAAAUGCGCAGAGAUAUGGAGGAACACCAGUGGCGAAGGCGACUUUCUGGUCUGUAACUGACGCUGAUGUGCGAAAGCGUGGGGAUCAAACAGG